AUGAACGCUGGCGGCGUGCCUAAUCCAUGCAAGUCGAGCGAACAGACGAGGAGCUUGCUCCUCUGACGUUAGCGGCGGACGGGUGAGUAACACGUGGAUAACCUACCUAUAAGACUGGGAUAACUUCGGGAAACCGGAGCUAAUACCGGAUAACAUGUUGAACCGCAUGGUUCAACAGUGAAAGACGGUUUUGCUGUCACUUAUAGAUGGAUCCGCGUCGCAUUAGCUAGUUGGUAAGGUAACGGCUUACCAAGGCAACGAUGCGUAGCCGACCUGAGAGGGUGAUCGGCCACACUGGAACUGAGACACGGUCCAGACUCCUACGGGAGGCAGCAGUAGGGAAUCUUCCGCAAUGGGCGAAAGCCUGACGGAGCAACGCCGCGCGAGUGAAGAGGGUCUUCGGAUCGUAAAACUCUGUUAUUAGGGAAGAACAAAUGUGUAAGUAACUAUGCACGUCUUGACGGUACCUAAUCAGAAAGCCACGGCUAACUACGUG
rnacentral:rRNA from 1 species